rnacentral:rRNA from 1 species
CAAUAGCGUAUAUUAAAGUUGUUGCGGUUAAAAAAGCUCGUAGUUGGAUUUCUGUUGAGGUUGACCGGUCCAUCUUAGGGUGCGAAUCAGGUUCGACCGAGACAUUUUCUGGAUGUAGCUCUGCACUUUAUUGAGUGGUGUGAACUCCAGGCUUUUACUUUGAGGAAAUUAGAGUGUUUCAAGCAGGCGUAUGCCUUGAAUACAUUAGCAUGGAAUAAUAAGAUAGGACUUUGGUUCUAUUUUGUUGGUUUCUAGAACUGAAGUAAUGAUUAAUAGGGACAGUCGGGGGCAUUCGUACUUAACUGUCAGAGGUGAAAUUCUUGGAUUUGUUAAAGACGAACUACUGCGAAAGCAUUUGCCAAGGAUGUUUUCAUUGAUCAAGAACGAAAGUUAGGGGAUCGAAGAUGAUCAGAU